GUGGGGGGACAUCCCCCAAUGCAGGCUGUGGGGUGAAGGGGGGACACCCCGAUUGCAGCAGUCCCCUCCUCAGCCCCCCAGGCCGGGCCCUGCACCUGCUCCAGGGUUUUUUCCCCCAAAAGCGCCUUAUUCCGCCCCAAAAAACGCGGAUCUGCCAGCACCUCACCGACCUCAACAGCGCUUUUUGUGCCAAAACCCAAUUUUCCCCAUUUUUUGGCUGCCGGCAAGUGGACGCAGACACGAGAGAAGAUCCCGGGGUGUUUUGGGAUGAGGGUGAUGCUUCCCAUCACCAAGAUCAUCCUCUAGAAGAUGGUUGACCAACAGCUUUUGGCUUGAAGCUGGAGAAUGGACAUUAUUCCCUAAAUCCCAGGAUAUUUUGGGAUGAAGGAGAUGCCUCCCACGCCUCUAAGAGAUGGUUCACCAACAGCUUUUGCCUUGAAGCUGGGAAAUGGACAUUAUUUCCCAAAUUUCAAGGUAUUUUGGGAUGAAGGUGAUGCUUCCCAUCCCCAAGACCACCCUCUAGGAGAUGGUUCAUCAUCAGCUUUUGGCUUGAAGCUGGAAAAUGGACAUGAUUCCCAAAAUCCCAGGGUAUUUUGAGAUGAAGGAGAUGCUUCCAAAAUUUUUUGGCCUGAAGCUGGAAAACUGAUGUUAUUUCCCAAAUUUCAAAGUAUUUUGGGAUGAAGGAGAUGCCUCCCAUCACCAAGACCACCCUCUAAGAGAUGGUUCACCAAGAGCUUUUGCCUUGAAGCUGGAAAAUGGACUUAUUUCCCAAAUUUCAAGGUAUUUUGGGAUGAAGGCGAUGCUUCCCGUCAUCAAGACCACUCCACAGGAGCUGGUUGACCAACAGCUUUUGACUUGAAGCUGGAAAAUGGACAUUAUUCCCUAAAUCCCAGGGGAUUUUGGGAUGAGGAUGAUGCUUUCCAUCAUCAAGACCACCCCACAGGAGGUGGUUCACCAACAGCUUUUGGCUUGAAGCUGGAGAAUGGACAUUAUUCCCUAAAUCCCAGGGGAUUUUGGGAUGAGGAUGAUGCUUCCUAUCAUCAAGACCACCCCAUAGCAGGUGGUUCACCAAGAGCUUUUGCCUUGAAGUUGGGAAAUAGACAUUAUUUCCCAAAUUUGAAGGUAUUUUGGGAUGAAGGUGAUGCUUCCCAUCAUCAAGACCACCCCACAGGAGGUGUUUCACCACCAUCUUUUGGCUUGAAGCUGGAAAAUGGAUAUUAUUCCCUAAAUCCCAGGACAUUUUGGGAUGAAGGAGAUGCCUCCCAUCCCCAAGACCACCCCACAGGAGGUGAUCCACCAACAGCUUUUGGCUUGAAGCUGGAAAACUGAUAUUAUUUCCCCAAUUUCAAGGUAUUUUGGGAUGAAGGAGAUGCCUCCCAUCCCCAAGACCACCCCACAGGAGGUGGUUCACCAAGAGCUUUUGGCUUGAAGCUGGAAAACUGAUAUUAUUUCCCCAAUUUCAAGGUAUUUUGGGAUGAAGGAGAUGCCUCCCAUCCCCAAGACCACCCCACAGGAGGUGGUUCACCAAGAGCUUUUGCCUUGAAGCUGGAAAAUGGCCGUUAUUUCCCCAAUUUGAAGGUAUUUUGGGCUGAAGGAGAUGCCUCCCAUCCCCAAGACCACCCUUUUCAUCGGCGUUUUUGUUAACUCACUCAGUUCGCAGCCACCCGAGCUCUCCUUGAGGCUGUCUUUCUUGGCCAUGGUGUCUCCGUUGCUCUCCCAGGGCGGUUUCUGGGAGCAGACAAGCCCGGUCAGCGUUCCAACCUCUAUAUAAGAGGUGUCCCCACCCUUCCCCAACGGUUCCCCUCCCUCUUUCUCUUUCCCUUCCUCCCCCUCCUCCUCCUCCCGCAGCACCCACACCUAGCGGCAGGCGCCAUGUUCUUCGUAGGGAGCUGAGUGGGGACAACUCCAAAAUCUCCCAAAACAACCUCCGCCUGCUUCAACCUUAUUUUUUUUUGGGAGUUUUUUUGUUAAAGAAUUAUAAAUAAUGCUGAGUUUAGGGGGG